GAACGCUGGCGGCAGGCCUAACACAUGCAAGUCGAGCGGUAGCACAGAGAAGCUUGCUUCUUGGGUGACGAGCGGCGGACGGGUGAGUAACGCGUGGGAAUCUACCUGGUAGUGGGGGACAACAGUCGGAAACGACUGCUAAUACCGCAUACGCCCUUUGGGGGAAAGUGGGGGAUCUUCGGACCUCACGCUAUCAGAAGAGCCCGCGUCGGAUUAGCUGGUUGGUGGGGUAAGAGCUCACCAAGGCGAUGAUCCGUAGCUGGUCUGAGAGGAUGACCAGCCACACUGGGACUGAGACACGGCCCAGACUCCUACGGGAGGCAGCAGUGGGGAAUAUUGGACAAUGGGGGCAACCCUGAUCCAGCCAUGCCGCGUGUGUGAAGAAGGCCUUCGGGUUGUAAAGCACUUUCAGCUGUGAGGAAAGGUGAGUGGUUAAUACCCGCUUACUGUGACGUUAACAGCAGAAGAAGGACCGGCUAACUCCGUGCCAGCAGCCGCGGUAAUACGGAGGGUCCGAGCGUUAAUCGGAAUUACUGGGCGUAAAGCGCGCGUAGGUGGUUCAGUCAGUCAGAUGUGAAAGCCCCGGGCUCAACCUGGGAACGGCACCUGAUACUGCUGAGCUAGAGUA
rnacentral:rRNA from 1 species